AUGGGCUCUGACCGUUGUCUGUGCUUAUGCACCAAUCGGCAAUUCGGAGUACUGGAAAGUGCCUCCUGUGGGGACUCCAUUGUCUUGCUGGGUGACUUCAAUGCUCAUGUGGGCAAUGACAGUGAGACCUGGAAGGGCGUGAUUGGGUGGAACAGCCUCCCCGAUCUGAACCUGAGUGGUGUUUUGUUAUUGGAGUCCAGUGCUCACCACAGUCUGUGCAUAACAAACACCAUGUUCGAACACAAAGGUGUGCAUAAAUGCACAUGGCAUCAGGACACCUUAGGCCGCAGUUCGUUGAUCAACUUCAUAGGUGUGUCAUUGGAUUUGCGAUCAUGUGUUUUGGACACCCGGGUGAAGAGAGGAGCGGAGCUUUCAACCGAUCACCACCUAAUGGUGGGUUGGAUCAAAUGGCGGGUGAAAAUACCAGACAGACCCAGCAGAGCCAAACAAGUUGUGAAGGGUUGUUGGGAACGUCUGGCAGAGGAACCUACCAGAAAGAUCUUCAACUUCCACAUCCGACAAAGCUUCGAUCGCAUACCGAUGAAGGCCGGUCACAUCGAGUCUGAGUGGGCCCUGUUCCAUGCCUCCAUUGUCGAUGCAGCGGAUCAGAGCUGUGGCCGCAAGGUCGUGGGUGCCUGUCGUGGCAGCAAUCCCCGAACCCGUUGGUGGACACCUCGGGUAAAGGAAGCCGUCAAGCUGAAGAAAGAGUCCUAUCGGGCCUGGUUGGCUUGUGGGACUCUGGAGGCAAAAGAUGGGUACCGAAGGGCCAAGCAGUUCACCGGGGUGGUGGUCCCACUUUUUAAGAAAGGGGACAGGAGGGUGUGUUCCAACUAUCAGGCAAUCACACUUCUCAGCCUACCCAGUAAGGUCUAUGCAGGGGUACUGGAGAAGAGAGUCCGACCGAUAGCUGAAUCUCAGCUACAAGAGGAACAAUGCGGGUUUCGCCCAGGUCGUGGAACACUGGACCAGCUUUUUAUCCUCACUAGGGUCCUGGAGGGUGCGUGGGAGUUCGCCCAACCAGUCUACAUGUGUUUUGUGGAUUUGGAGAAGGCAUUCGACCGCGUCCCUCAGGGGAUCCUGUAG
ensembl:lncRNA